UUACAGGAUGAUGACGUUUAUUGAGUGGAGGUCGUUGUGUGCUAUAUAGGUUGGUUGUCCUCUUAAUCAAAGAGUGUGGUAACACUGAUAUGACAUACAGGUGAGAUGUAUAAGUACAUCAUCACUGAACAAAUGACUCACCUACUGAGUGUUCUGCUGUCAAGAAUUGCUCGCGAAGCACAUGGGUAUAAGUGUCCUUCAGAUCUGAAAUCAUUAUAGUGACUUGCAAGUAACUUACUGUGCUUUGAUGCCAGACUAUUUGAAUUUCUAAUACAGUGACAGAAGGCUACUGGGUACACUCAAGUACUUGAGAAGUCUGUGUGUGGAUCAAGAUGGGAUUGACCCCUCCGAAUUAUUAGAAUUGAUAUAUCACUGUAUUUUAAUUUAGUAAACCUUUGGUCAGGAUAAUCCAUGAGAUGGAUUUAAAAGGCUAAAAUACAAUAUGGAUGAAGCAAUCUCGGUUGACAAUUAACCUGAUACCAUCCUAGAGCAUUCAGGGUCAAAAGGAUGAAUUAUGCGGUAACCAUGUGUAUGAAUUCUGAAAUAUUUCUUUACAAUAAUUCGAUCUAUCUGAAUAUCGAGAACCAUUGCUCGAUGGUAUCUUGAUUAGUGCAGAAAUUGAUUCCUGCAUUACCGACUUAAUGUUUGAACCCA
rnacentral:lncRNA from 1 species